UGUAAUUUGAAUCAAGAAAAUUCAAUAUUCUUCAAUGUAUAUACUCUUACGUCAUAUUUUAAACUUUUUAUAUUUUUAAAUAUUAGCGCGAAAUAAUUAUGCUUGGAGAUUGGUUAUAUAUAAAGUAGCAUUGUGCGCAUGCGCGGCGGGAAUCGUUAGAUGCUAACCAAUUCGAAUUAGACGCCAUGUUGAAUUUUAGGACAUUACCAAGUUGACAUCGGAAUCGUCGUCGUCCUCGUAAUUACAGCCUUUCUCGUCAUUCUGAGAUAAGAUGCCCGUCGUGCGAGCAUCAACGAAGAUUUAAAAACGUCAUCGUAAUCGUAAUCGUGCGCGAAUGAAGGAGUCGUGUGUUGUAUCGGUAAAAUAAAAACAGAAAAAUCGCUAAGUAGAAUCAGUAUUGUUGUUCGUCGUAUAUGAAAGUUUCGGUUAGAGUAAAAGAAAUUCGUCAAUAGAAAGAAACUCAUCAAGUUUCUUAUUUUCGGCAGCGUUUUGUUAAAAUUUAA